rnacentral:lncRNA from 1 species
CUACAUAAAAAUUGGCAUUGUUAGUAGAACUAAAAAUAUAGAAAAAAACUACAUAAAAAAGAAUCAUGUAUGGGUUUUUCCCUCAUGUAAAAUCCUAUGUAAUUAUCUCUAAUUAUUCAAUAUAUUUUUGUCGCACUUUGCAAUAAAAAAAAUAUUUUUACUAACAAACUGGUGAAAGCCUAAUGAUUACCAUAAAUUUAUCUGAGUUUACCCAAUAUGUUUAUUUUUUGCUAACGUUACUAAUCAAAGUCUAGUGAGAGAUACACCCACAAAUCAAGAGUUUAUACUGGUGAAAGUAACAAUACUGGUCAAACAGUAUGAUGAAAUAGGACAACUAACGAUAUUGGUCAAAGUUUAUAACCUCACAAAUAACCUAGAUAUACACAACAUUAACGCAGCCAUUUUGUAUGCACGUUAUGUAAUUAUACUGUGGUGGGCUUUACAAUUCUGGUCAGGCAAACCACGUAUGAAAAAUAUGAAAGAAGAACAAGAACAAAGAGGUUAAUCAUACCUUGUUUGUACACUGGUUAUCUUGCGAAACCUUGGAUGACCUGCAUAGAAAGGGGUUAACAAAAUUUCAACUACUAAUACGAUCAUUGUAAAUUGAUCAUAUUUAAUCAUCGAAAGGACUGGCAUGAUAUAUAAAUGGGAAUCCAACUACUUGUGAGUCCUAGCUUUUGUGCUUCACAUUUCUUUUAAAAUUUCCGCAAUAGGCAGUGCAUUUACAAAGGAUCAAGAAGGAAAAUAAAAAGAGAUUUCAAACAGUGGUGGUUUCCGAGAAAAAGUUGGCAUUCCUAAUGUAUCAAUCUAAGUAAUCAAUCAAUCGAUUUACCAAUAGCAGUCAGUCCUUUUCUCUUUAGUUCAACCUUGCGUUUAAGGUACUGAUAGUGUACAAAAUCCUUUAUAUCAAUCUGAUGUAAUCAAUCAAUUAAUUUUACCAAAUCUUUCAAAUAUCAUGACUAUGCUCACUCUCUAACCUUUACCAACAACUUUGAUUAGAACAAAACAAACAACAAAACUCAAAAAACGUUGCUUAUUAGAGAGUAUUUUACCUGAAUGAGAGAGAUGGAAGAUGAUUGCUUUGUUUAUAGAAUAUAGAAAGAUAGAGAGAGAUUACAACAAUAAGUGUGCAAGAUGGAUUUCUAAAAGAAGAGAUUUUGUCGAGAGAAAGAGAAAAAAGCUAAGGAAAAGAUGAACUAUGGCUUCAAU